rnacentral:misc_RNA from 1 species
GAUGAAGAACGCAGCGAAAUGCGAUAAGUAGUGUGAAUUGCAGAAUUCAGUGAAUCAUCGAAUCUUUGAACGCACAUUGCGCCCCUUGGUAUUCCAUGGGGCAUGCCUGUUCGAGCGUCAUUUGUACUCUCAAGCUCUGCUUGGUGUUGGGUGUUUGUCUAUGCCAUUGUGUUUGGACUCGCCUUAAAGUAAUUGGCAGCCGGCGUAUUAGCUUUGGAGCGCAGCACAUUUUGCGCUUCUUGUUAGUAUACACUGGCGUCCAUUAAGACCUCUUAUCACUUUUGACCUCGGAUCAGGUAGGGAUACCCGCUGAACUUAAGCAUAUCAAUAAGCGGAGGA